rnacentral:rRNA from 1 species
GGUGUGGAUAGGGGAGAAAUUCCAAUCGAACCCGGAGAUAGCUGGUUCUCCUCGAAAUAGCUUUAGGGCUAGCCUCGAUAGAGAUACAUGGAGGUAGAGCACUGAAUUUCCUAGGGGGCGUCAAAGCCUACCGAAGAAUAUCAAACUCCGAAUGCCAUGGAAUUGAUUAUCGGGAGUCAGACUAUACGAGAUAAGUUGGAUAGUCAAAAGGGAAAGAGCCCAGACCUCCAGCUAAGGUCCCAAAGUACGUGUUAAGUGGAAAAGGAUGUGGGAUUUCGAAGACAACCAGGAUGUUGGCUCAGAAGCAGCCAUACAUUCAAAGAGUGCGUAAUAGCUCACUGGUCGAGAGGUCCUGCGCCGAAAAUGUCCGGGGCUAAAACACGACACCGAAGCUGAGGAAUGUAUUUGAUACAUUGGUAGAGGAGCAUUGAAUACGGGAAGAAGCAGUACCGAAAGGAGCUGUGGACUGUAUUGAAGAGAGAAUGCCGGAAUGAGUAGCGAGAAUAAGGUGAGAAUCCUUAUGGCCGAAUAUCUAAGGUUUCCAGGGUAAAGCUGAUCUGCCCUGGGUAAGUCGGGACCUAAGGCGAGGUCGAAAGACGUAGCCGAUGGACAACAGGUUGAGAUUCCUGUACUGCGUUAGAACAGAACUGUGGGGACACGUGUGGAAAGCACAACCCGGGAAUGGAAUCCCGGGGCAAGCGAAGGAGGAGUCACAUAGGAAAAACCGUGUGGCAAUCCAAAAGCGUGAUGCGGACCGAACUAGAGUAGGGAAGUGUGUGAGCCAUGCGUCAAGAAAAGCCGCUAUUGUUUGUAACGUACCCGUACCGUAAACCGACACAGGUGGAUGAGGAGAGAAUCCUAAGGCCGACGGAAGAAGCAUUGCCAAGGAACUCGGCAAAAUGACCCCGUAACUUCGGGAGAAGGGGUGCCCGUGUAAAAGCGGGCCGCAGAGAAUAGGCUCAAGCAACUGUUUAGCAAAAACACAGGUCUAUGCGAAACCGAAAGGUGAGGUAUAUGGGCUGACGCCUGCCCGGUGCUGGAAGGUUAAGAGGAGAUGUCAGGAAACGAAGCAUUGAAUUUAAGCCCCAGUAAACGGCGGCCGUAACUAUAACGGUCCUAAGGUAGCGAAAUUCCUUGUCGGGUAAGUUC